GCCUGGGUGGCUUAGGUGGUUAAGUGUCUGACUUCAGCUCAGGUCAUAAUCUCGAAGUUCGUGGGUUCAAGCCCCACGUCAGGCU
rfam:Felis catus isolate Cinnamon breed Abyssinian chromosome C1, whole genome shotgun sequence.